rnacentral:misc_RNA from 1 species
AUUUUCUGGCAUGUUAAAAGCACAAAAAUAAGUAAUUGAGAUGACAAAAAUAGCAGCAGAUAUUUGAAUUUAAGUUUGCAUACAAUGUGUCCGUCAUUGAUCAUAUAGAAUGACAUUGAUUUGAAGCUCACAAAAAGCUGCCACGUAAUCAUAAGUGAACAGACUUCAAACUCAAGAUAACCAAACCAAACUCAACUCAACUCAACUCAA